rnacentral:rRNA from 1 species
GACGAACGCUGGCGGCGUGCUUAACACAUGCAAGUCGAACGAAGAGCGAUGGAAGCUUGCUUCUAUCAAUCUUAGUGGCGAACGGGUGAGUAACGCGUAAUCAACCUGCCCUUCAGAGGGGGACAACAGUUGGAAACGACUGCUAAUACCGCAUACGAUCUAAUCUCGGCAUCGAGGAUAGAUGAAAGGUGGCCUCUACAUGUAAGCUAUCACUGAAGGAGGGGAUUGCGGCUGAUUAGCUAGUUGGAGGGGUAACGGCCCACCAAGGCGAUGAUCAGUAGCCGGUCUGAGAGGAUGAGCGGCCACAUUGGGACUGAGACACGGCCCAGACUCCUACGGGAGGCAGCAGUGGGGAAUCUGCCGCAAUGGACGAAAGACUGACGGAGCAACGCCGAGUGAGUGAUGACGGCCUUCGGGUUGUAAAGCUCUGUUAAUCGGGACGAAAGGCCUUCUUGCGAAUAGGGAGAAGGAUUGACGGUACCGGAAUAGAAAGCCACGGCUAACUACGUG